UGUAGGGCAAUUGAGAAAACGUCACUUUCAGUUUUCGCGCACCAUCAGCACCAACAGCCUAUUAGUGGAAUACGGUCAAAAUGUACACAUUACGCUACGGUCGCGAAUCGCUGCAAGUGCCUGUGGGCCCUAACGCGGUGGAAGAAGUUGCAGCUGCAAUUACAGCAUGGAAGGGGUUUUCGCCGAAGGACUACUACAUCACUCAGAAUGGCCGUUCGAUUGCCAGCUGGCAAACGGUGUCUUGCAGCGCACCGUUGUGCAUCAACGGCAGGCUUCCUGGGGGCAAGGGUGGCUUCGGUUCGAUGCUGCGCGCAAUCGGAGCGCAAAUCGAGAAAACCACCAAUCGGGAGGCGUGCCGUGAUCUGAGCGGGCGCCGUCUGCGCGACAUCAAUGAGGAGAAACGGCUGAAGGCGUAUCUGGAGAAGCAGCAGGAAGCGUCGGAAGAUAAGCGAGCUAAGGUUGAGAAGAAAAUCGCCAAAAUGCUCGCCAAAUCGAAGCCCGAGUUCGACGACGAACAGUACGAAGCUGCGCGCAGUGAGCUGGUCGUCGCGGUGGAUGAGGCGCUAGAUAAAGGAUUGCAGCAGUCGGUCACAGCACAGUCACUGGUGAACGAGGAAGGAUCGAGCGGCACGUCCCGUUCACGGCCUGUGACAGCAAAAAGGAAACAUCCGGCGAACGGAAGAGACAUCGCAAAGCGAACGCGCACAGACGUAUGGCUCGGGGCGGAACGUCUUUCCUCGUGUAGUGAGAGUGAUGCUUAGUUCCGUGGUUCGAGUGGUUCCGAAACUCGGCUGCCGUACGAAGGCGGUGCUGCACAUUCCGACGAACGAUCAACCUACGGUAACUGAUAUCUUCGUCGCGAAUGAAUAUAGUUCUAACAGUGACUUUAAGGAUGGUACUUUUUUUUAUUGACAAGUUCUUCGUUUCAGAAUGAAACGUAGCGUGUCAUGUAAAAAAAUGUAAUGUAAAUUUAUUGUAAUCUAUGUUUCGUCUGUACCUGUCUUAAAUAUGGACAGCGUGUUCCAAAAGAUACAAAGCACAGUCCCUUCUGUGGAAGGUAUCAGAGCGACGGCAGCGAAACCAGAACAACUGAUUUACGUACAUACAUUGCGAUAUUCUGCCGUCUUCUCAUGCUGCUGCUCCGUGUGUAGUUUGAGGAAAG